GGCUCUUUGGUGAUGUGGUCAGCGCGUGUGACUCAUACCCAAGAGUCUAGGGUUCAAACCCCCGUCUGGGCCC